AUGCUGGCAAGAGGUACAGCCAUGGCGGCCAGCUGCUGGAAUCCGCACAAUUUUUUUUGCUUCAAUCGGCGUUCAAUUUUUUUGUUGAAACUAGCGAUGUUCUGUAUGUUUUUGCUACCACCGUUUUGUAUUUUGCUGGAACCAGCGUCGUUUUUUGCUACCACUGUGUUUUCGAUUUGCUGGAACCAGCCCUCGACUUUGCAUUUUUGCUACAACCAUGGAGGCCAGAUGCUGGAACCCGCACACAUUUUUGCUUCCAUCGACGUUUUGGUUUUACUAAAACUAGCGUUGUCUUUUGUAUUUUUUGCUACCACCCUUUUGUAUUUUUGCUGGAACCAGCAUCGAUUUUUGCUACCAUCGCCUUUUUGA
rnacentral:rRNA from 1 species